rnacentral:rRNA from 1 species
UACGUAGGGGGCUAGCGUUGUCCGGAAUCAUUGGGCGUAAAGAGCGCGUAGGCGGCCAGAUAAGUCCGGUGUGAAAGUCAAAGGCUCAACCUUUGAAUGCCGCUGGAAACUGUCUGGCUAAAGUCCGGGAGGGGCGAGUGGAAUUCCUGGUGUAGCGGUGAAAUGCGCAGAUAUCAGGAGGAACACCAAUGGCGAAGGCAGCUCGCUGGAACGGUACUGACGCUGAGGCGCGAAAGCGUGGGGAGCGAACAGG